rnacentral:tRNA from 2 species
AGUCCUGUAGUGUAGCGGUCAAUCAUUCGGGCCUUUGGAGCCUGCGACCCCGGUUCGAAUCCGGGCAGGACUACCA